rnacentral:rRNA from 1 species
UAAUAGCACAAAGUGCCAGGAAAGAAUUAUUCAAGCCCUUCCCAGAAGGUAUCCUUCUGGCAAGGGUACUGUACUAAACUAACUAAAGUGGGGGAUAGUGAGGGGAUAAAUUUUCUUAAGGAACUCGGCAAAAUCCCAAUGGCCCACCAGGGCAUAUUGGAACACGGGCCUCGACUGUUUACCAAAAACAUAGCCCUCGGCUAAUAUGAAAAUAGAUGUAUAGAGGGUGAUGCCUGCCCAAUGGUUGUAUCUAAAAGCGGUUGAUAAAAGUUGACCUCGUAAGGACAAUUGAAUGGCCGCGGUAACACUGACCGUGAUAAUGUAGCGUAAUCAAUAGCCAAUUAAUUGUUGGCCAGUAUGAAUGGCGCCACGAAGGCCCCACUGUCUUAAGGAAAUUCCCAGUGAAAUUGAAUUCGUAGUGAAGAUGCUACGUCCAAUUUGUUAGACGAAAAGACCCCGUUGAGCUUUACUGGAGCACUUACAUGGCCCCGGCCUUCCCAUGCCUGGGAACCGGCCGAAUUUAAAUGGGCGGCUUAGAUUAUGUGGCAGCCCCCCGCUGGGGCAAAUGAAACACCACUCCCCCAUGUCAAAGGGGCUAACCCCCCCCCUUGGGGGGACAGUGUAAGUAGGACAGUUUGGUUGGGGCGACCACCUUUUAAAAAGUAACGAAGGUGCGCUUAAGGUGCGCAAUUAAUGACUGAAGCCUGACUGCGAGGGGGACACCCCGAGCAGACACCCCAAAGCCCGCCCGAAAGGCGGCGGUGGGGUGGGCCAUAGUGACCCGUUAAUUUAGAGUGGAAUAGUUAACGAUCAACGAAUAAAAGUUACCACGGGGAUAACAGCGUAAUAUCGUUAGAGAGUUCACAUCGACGACGAUGUUUGCGACCUCGAUGUUGAAUUGCGGCAUCCUGGGGUGCAGCCGCUCCA